AGGAGUAUAAACAAAACGGGUGAAUAGUGUCACCUCCACAACGGUUUGCACAAAGUCCCACAUUGAAACUUUGUGCAAAACUCCCAUUUUCACUUUCCUAUAACUAGGGAAUAGUACCCAAGUAAAAAGGGUAACUAUUUUCUCACAUUUACUGUUGCUCUGUCAAAAUUACCACAUAUAGCUGACUUAAGCAUCGGAGAGCCUUCGGCAGGCACCACACCAGUGUCCGAA
rnacentral:lncRNA from 1 species